rnacentral:lncRNA from 1 species
GCAGAGACGGCUCAGAGGGAUGACAUAUUUGGAAGUCUUGCUGGGAUUUCAAAGUCUGCAGGACUUUGUGUAGACUGCAGGAAUUUGUUGUGUUUCAAUCCAGAUUCAAUUCAGCCAUCUUGGCUGACCUUAACAUGUCAACUGAAGUUUCCCCAAGAUUCCCCCCAAAUUCCCACUUAAUUUCUUAUGCCGACUAUAGAUAUAUUGAAAAUGAGACGGAGCAAGUUGAAACAUGGAAGGAAUACCUGCAUAAUAAAUAUUUUCUUGGAGCCACAGAUGAGAAUGAAGAAAUGAGGACUCAUUCUAAACCCCUGGAGCCCAGCCAUCCCAUGUCCCAGUGGUUUCACACUAUAGCUAGAAUCUGGAGAUGGAGUCUACAGAAGACACUGGUGCAAGCACACCAUGCACCAGAUGGGAAGGACCUCAACUCUUAGAAGACUCCAAAUGUGGCUAAGUAUAUUCCUUGUUCUCCCUUACAUCAUCCAUUACAUGUUCCUCAGUACAUGUUCCUGGGACUUGGCCCUGCUGUUUUCUUUUUGCAUGGUCUUCUCUCAGAGAAAUCUCUUGGUACCCACCCAAAGCAAGAUCCCUACUUAAAGACUGGCAAAUACUUCAAUCCAAGAACUAGAAACAUCCGAAAGAAAAACAACUAGUUCUCACAUCUAACUAGAGUAGGAAAGUUUCAAAUCAGUUAUGUUUUAUUUUGUUACAAGAACUAAUAAAACUUAAUCUCUAUUAAUUGGGAGAUCCA